rnacentral:rRNA from 1 species
ACUCAAAUGAAUUGACGGGGACCUGCACAAGUGGUGGAGCGUGCGGUUUAAUUCGUCUCUAAGCGUAGAACCUUACCGAGGUUUGACAUCUCUGGAAAGUCCUGGAAACAGGACCGUGCCGCAAGGAACCAGAUGACAGGUGUUGCACGGUUGUCGUCAGCUCGUGCCGUGAGGUGUCCCGUUCAGUCGGUUAACGAGCGCAACCCCUACCUUGUGUUGUAUUUUUCACAAGGAACUGCCCUGGUCAACAGGGAGGAAGGUGGGGACGACGUCAAAUCAGCGUGGCUCUUACACCUCGGGCGACACGCGCGCUACAAUGGGAAGUAACAAAGGGUUGCCAAGCCGUAAGGCGGAGCUAAUCCCAUCAAACCUUCCCCCAGUUCGGAUUGAGGGCUGCAACUCGCCCUCAUGAAGUCGGAAUCACUAGUAACGGCCGGUCAGCCAUACGGCCGUGAAUACGUUCUCAGGUCUUGUACACACCGCCCGU